GGAGAUCCUAAACUUGUGAAUUGUGUGUUAAGAGAAAAAAAAAUUGUUCAUGCAAAGUGCAUGAAUAUAUCAGGAAAGCUUCCUUCCAAGGCUAAAAUCUUUUUGUGGUGUAACUAGUUUCUGGCCUAAAUCUCAUGGGAUUUUUUUUCACUCAUACUUCUAAGUGGCUAUUUUGAAACAGUUAUUUUUAGGUAUUUAAGCUUUAAAAAUGUUUCCAAGCCUAGGUUUAGAUAUUCUAAUUACCUUUUAAAUAUUUAGCUCUUGGCAUUGUUUUACAAUGUCGAGAGCAGAUGCCUUUCCAAUUCAGCAGUUUUAGAACCCAUGUGUCCUAGACUCAACAUCAAAGAAUGCCAUAUUUUUCUCAUCACUUUAAUUUUUCUCCUUUAUUGCACGACUGCAGUUUCAUUAUUAACAUGUGGUUAAGAGGGUACCUCUUGGUAUGAACUUUGUUCUAGGUUCUCAAAUUUGGGGGAUUAAUUUAAAUGUCAGAAUUAGAUUUUUUCAACACCCCCUUUUAAAAAAAUUAAUUAGCAUGAAUUUGUAUUUUCAUGGCCUUUGCCCUGAAAAG
rnacentral:lncRNA from 1 species